CGGCGGACGGUGAUAAUGUCUGGGAACUGCUGAUGGAGGGGGAUACUACUGAACGUAGCUAUACGCAUACGUCGCAGACAAAGAGGGGGACUUCGGGCCUCUUGCCAUCAGAUGUGCCAGAUGGGAUUAGCUAGUAGGUGGGGUAACGGCUCACCUAGCGACGAUCCUACUGGUCUGAAGGAUGACAGCCACACUGGAAACUGAACACGGUCCAACUCCUACGGGAGGCACAUGGGGAAUAUUGCACAAUGGGCGCAAGCCUGAUGCAGCCAUGCCGCGUGUAUGAGGAAGGCCUUCGGGUUGUAAAGUACUUUCAGCGGGGAGGAAGGUGUUGUGGUUAAUAACCACAGCAAUUGACGUUACCCGCAGAAAAGCACCGGCUAACUCCGUGCCAGCAGCCGCGGUAAUACGGAGGGUGCAAGCGUUAAUCGGAAUUACUGGGCGUAAAGCGCACGCAGGCGGUCUGUCAAGUCGGAUGUGAAAUCCCCGGGCUCAACCUGGGAACUGCAUUCGAAACUGGCAGGCUAGAGUCUUGUAAGGGGGGUAGAAUUCCAGGUUGUACGGUGAAUGCGUAAGAUCUGGAGGAAAUACCGGUGGCGA
rnacentral:rRNA from 1 species